AGCAUAAAAUCUUAUAUAGCUUUUAAAUUAAUCACCAUUAAUACAGUAACACUUUUUAAAUAUAAUGACAUUAAUCAUAUGAUUUUAAACAACACACAUCUUAUAUAUUCAAUGGAAAAUUGUGCAAUAUGGAAGAGUAGUUGAAAACAGGGAAACAAUACUGGUUGUUUUUUUAAGUUGCCUGAAUACAUUUACCUCUGGUUAUUUGAUCUAAACAAAAUUUAAAAAAUAUACUGAUUAAGAAGAAAAAUGAGUUUCAUUUUCUAUGUUGUAGAUGCCAGAAGCUGCCUCAAGUUAGGUUUUGCUUGUAUAAGAUGUCAAGUACAGUCUUUUGCUAUCUAGGAAUUAAG
rnacentral:lncRNA from 1 species